UGCUUAAUAGCUAGCCCGCCCUGACAACAACAACCCACCCCUAUUAAUAACCCCAAAUACACAAGUAUUUAUAUUAAACAAACCAUUUUUCCACCUUAGUAUGGGAGACAGAAAAGGAACUCGGAGCAAUAGAGAAAGUACCGCAAGGGAAUGCUGAAAAAGAAAUGAAAUAACCCAGUGAAGCCUAAAGAAGCAGAGAUUUAACCUCGUACCUUUUGCAUCAUGAUUUAGCCAGUGUAACCCAAGCAAAGAGUACUUUAGUUUGAUAACCCGAAACUAAGUGAGCUACUCCAAGACAGCCUGUUAGUAGGGCAAACCCGUCUCUGUUGCAAAAGAGUGGGAAGAGCUUUGAGUAGAGGUGACAAACCUACCGAACUUAGUUAUAGCUGGUUGUCCGAGAAUUGGAUAGAAGUUCAGCCUCACGGCUUCUUACUUCGCUUUAGACCUACAUCUUCUAGUGUUAACAAGAAACCAUGAGAGUUAUUCAAAGGGGGCACAGCCCCUUUGAAACAAGACACAACUUUCCCAGGAGGGUAAAGAUCAUA
rnacentral:rRNA from 1 species